rnacentral:rRNA from 1 species
AUGUCUGGGAAACUGCCUGAUGGAGGGGGAUAACUACUGGAAACGGUAGCUAAUACCGCAUAACGUCGCAAGACCAAAGAGGGGGACCUUCGGGCCUCUUGCCAUCAGAUGUGCCCAGAUGGGAUUAGCUAGUAGGUGGGGUAACGGCUCACCUAGGCGACGAUCCCUAGCUGGUCUGAGAGGAUGACCAGCCACACUGGAACUGAGACACGGUCCAGACUCCUACGGGAGGCAGCAGUGGGGAAUAUUGCACAAUGGGCGCAAGCCUGAUGCAGCCAUGCCGCGUGUAUGAAGAAGGCCUUCGGGUUGUAAAGUACUUUCAGCGGGGAGGAAGGUGUUGUGGUUAAUAACCGCAGCAAUUGACGUUACCCGCAGAAGAAGCACCGGCUAACUCCGUGYCCWGCAGCCGCGGUAAUACGGAGGGUGCAAGCGUUAAUCGGAAUUACUGGGCGUAAAGCGCACGCAGGCGGUCUGUCAAGUCGGAUGUGAAAUCCCCCGGGCUCAACCUGGGAACUGCAUUC